rnacentral:rRNA from 1 species
ACGGCGAGUGAAGCGGGAAAAGCUCAAAUUUGAAAUCUGGUAGCCUCAGGCUGCCCGAGUUGUAAUCUAUAGAAACGUUUUCCGCGCUGGCCCAUGUACAAGUCUCCUGGAAUGGAGCGUCAUAGAGGGUGAGAAUCCCGUCCUUGACAUGGACUACCAGUGCUUUGUGAUACGUUUUCAAAGAGUCGAGUUGUUUGGGAAUGCAGCUCAAAAUGGGUGGUAAAUUCCAUCUAAAGCUAAAUAUUGGCGAGAGACCGAUAGCGAACAAGUACCGUGAGGGAAAGAUGAAAAGCACUUUGGAAAGAGAGUUAAACAGUAUGUGAAAUUGUUGAAAGGGAAACGAUUGAAGUCAGUCAUGUCUAUUGGACUCAGCCGGUUCUGCCGGUGUACUUCCUUUAGAUGGGGUCAACAUCAGUUUUGAUCGCUGGAAAAGGGCAGGAGGAAUGUAGCACUCUCGGGUGAACUUAUAGCCUCCUGUCGUAUACAGUGGUUGGGACUGAGGAACGCAGCAUGCCUUUAUGGCCGGGGUUCGCCCACGUACAUGCUAGGAUGU